rnacentral:rRNA from 1 species
ACUCAAAGGAAUAGACGGGGGCCCGCACAAGCGGUGGAGCAUGUGGUUUAAUUCGAUGCAACGCGAAGAACCUUACCUGGAUUUGACAUCCUCGGACAACCCUAGAGAUAGGGCUUCCCCUUCGGGGGCCGGGAGACAGGUGCUGCAUGGCUGUCGUCAGCUCGUAUCGUGAGAUGUCGGGUUAAGUCCCUUAACGAGCGCAACCCUUGUUUCUAGUUGCCAUCAUUUAGUUGGGCACUCUAGAGAAACCGCCGGUGUUAAACCGGAGGAAGGUGGGGAUGACGUCAAGUCCUCAUGGCCUUUAUAUCCAGGGCCACACACGUGCUACAAUGGCCAGUACAAAGGGUCGCUAACCCGCGAGGGGGAGCUAAUCCCAGAAAGCUGGUCUCAGUUCGGAUUGAAGUCUGCAACUCGACUUCAUGAAGCUGGAAUCGCUAGUAAUCGCGGAUCAGAACGCCGCGGUGAAUACGUUCCCGGGCCUUGCACACACCGCCCGU